UUCAAGACCACUGAAUUACCAAGAUCAAACUAUUCUAAUUCUAUGUCAUUUCUACAGAAGAAAUGCUAGAGGACCACCAUAGUAUCAAACCUCAGGCAUUUCACAGAGUUCUGGGGUUAUUACAACUCCCUCUGUACCACUUCGGUUUCUAUCUCAUAAUGCUAGAACUGUUAGUACUGCAGUAGCACAGCAGAUGACAGUAGCAGCGCAUCCAGUCCUAGCAGUCUGAUGAAAUAACACAAGAAAAGGAGUGAUACAUUUUUGGAAAUUAGGAUUGCUUGUGAAAUACAUCCUUUUAGUUUGAAUUACAGGUCAGAACCGCCUAUAAGUGGAGACUGUUACCGUGAAGAACAGUAACUUAUGCAGACAUCAUCCCUUCACAGCUC